UAGACAUUAUGAAAUAAAAAACACAUCAAAUAGGCUUUUGAAAGCUACAGGUAACACGACCAAGGUGAGAUUUUGUGUUUUGUAAAAAGACAUGGAACACUUUUGCUGAGGUGACAGAUAUUAAUUGCCUCCAAACCGAGUUUCACAGCGAAUUUCAUUUUAAUUCAGUCAGAAACCACAGACACUCAGCUGGGAGGUAUAGAAGAAUCUGGAAACAGCCAUUAACAAGGGAAUAAAUCAAGCCCAAUAUCACUAAGAACUCCUGCAUUUCUUUGGAUUUUUUCUGAUUUUUCUUAUUUAUCAUGGUUUGUAAUG